AGCCCCGUGGUGUAGAGGCAAUCAUGGGGGGCUUUGGACCCCUCGACCCCGGUUCGAGUCCGGGCGGGGCUA
rnacentral:tRNA from 2 species